CACCAGCCCCUCGAGUGGUGGGGAUGAUUAUUUGGCCUAAAGCGUCCGUAGCCGGCCGGGUAAGUUUCCCGUUAAAUCCAAUGUCUCAAGCAUUGGACUGCGGGAAAUACUGCCUGGCUAGAGAGUGGGAGAGGUGUACGGUAUUCUGGGGGUAGGGGCGAAAUCCUUUGAUCCCCGGAGGACCACCAGUGGCGAAGGCUGUACACUAGAACACGUCUGACGGUCAGGGACGAAAGCUGGGGUAGCGAACCGGAUUAGAUACCCGGGUAGUCCCAGCUGUAAACGAUGCAUGCUAGGUGUUGGGUUGGCCACGAGCCACCCCAGUGCCGCAGGGAAGCCGUUAAGCAUGCCGCCUGGGAAGUACGAUCGCAAGAUUGAAUCUUAAAGGAAUUGGCGGGGGAGCACCACCAGGCGUGAAGCCUGCGGUUU
rnacentral:rRNA from 1 species